CAGUAAAAAUCGCACCUUUUUCUUCAAAGCAGAAACGCAUCGAACGAGAAGUGAAAAAGACUCGUCUUUUUGGCUCCAUGGAGGGCGACGCCGAUGCAAAGAACUAUUGAGAACUUAAAGAUGCAUCCCCAAACAGAAGUUCAGUUAUUCUCGCUCCUCGUCGCCUCUCGUAAUGGCCGCCUCCGCCGUGGUGCCCGCUUCGCCUCCGCCCGCGCCGGCUCCUUCCUCGGCCUCCUCCGGCCGCCGCCUCGCCACCGAAAGAGCUACUCUCCGCAGCAGCAUCGACUCGUGCAGAUCACUGGCCGAGCUGCGGCAGUACCACUCCCAGCUCAUCCGCCUCGGUCUAUCCUCCGACAACGACGCCGCCGGCCGCCUCAUCAAGUUCCUCGCUUUCCACCCCUCCGGAGACAUCCCUUACGCCCUCCGCCUCCUGGCCCUCCUACCCCACCCGGACCCCUUCGUCUUCAACACCCUGUUCCGUGCCCUGCCUUGCCCCGCCCUCUCCCUCCCCCUCUACGCCGACAUGCUCCGUCGAUCCGUCGCCCCCAACGCCUUCACCUUCCCUUCCCUCCUCAACCCCAUCUCCGCCGCCCGCGAUCUACGCUCUGGCCGCCAGGUACACGCCCACCUCCUCAAGCUGGGAUUCCACACCCACCCCUUCUCCCAGAACAAUCUCAUCCAUUUCUAUCUCAACUGCGGCCUCGCAGUCGAUGGGCGCAGUGUGUUCGACAGAAUGGAUCAACCAGAUGUGGUCUCCUGGACCACCAUGAUCAGUGGGCUGUCAAAGCUGGACAUGGUGGACGAUGCACGGGAGCUGUUCGACAGAAUGCCCCAAAGGAACUCUGUUUCCUGGAAUGCAAUGAUCUCGGGGUACACGCAGAACGGACUAUUCAAGCAAGCGUUCGAGUUGUUUGACCGAAUGCGAUCACAAGGCAUCGAGCUUGACAGGUUCGUCGCAGCGAGCAUGCUCGCGGCUUGCACGGGAAUGGGAGCAUUGGAACAGGGUAAAUGGAUCCAUGGCUACAUUGAGAGGAAGAGAAUUGAGUUGGAUCCUAAACUGGCUACAACCAUCAUAGACAUGUAUUGCAAGUGUGGUUGCUUGGACAAGGCUUACGAAGUCUUUCGCGGGUUGUCGAAGAAAGGGCUUUCGUCGUGGAACUGUAUGAUCGGAGGGCUUGCAAUGCACGGGCACGGGAAGGACGCUAUUGAACUGUUCAAGGAAAUGGAGAAAGGAGCGAUGGUGCCAGACGAUAUCACACUCUUGAAUGUCCUCAGUGCUUGUGCGCACGUGGGAAUGGUCGCAGAGGGGCAGCAUUAUUUUAGGUACAUGGUCGAUGAGUAUGGAAUUGUGCCGAAGAUGGAGCAUUUUGGUUGCAUGGUUGAUUUGCUAGGGAGAGCAGGGCUUUUGGCAGAAGCGAAGAAGGUCAUAGAAGAGAUGCCCGUGGAUGCUGAUGCUGCAGUUUUGGGGGCCCUUCUUGGGGCAUGCAAGAUUCACGGCAACGCCGAUAUGGGUGAGCAAAUCGGUCGGCAGGUUAUCAAAUUGGAUCCUUAUAAUGGUGGUCGAUAUGUACUUCUAGCUAACUUGUUUGCUAGUACCGGACGGUGGGAUGAUGUGGCCAAAAUGAGGACAUUGAUGAAUGAUAGAGGGGUGAACAAAGAGCCUGGAUGUUCAAUGAUUGAAAUGGAUGGUAGAGUCCAUGAGUUCAUUGCCGGUGGCAAGUCUCACCCUCAAGCCAGAGAAAUAUACGCCAUGGUCAAUGAGAUGCUGGAGAGGAUAAGGGCAGAGGGUUAUGUACCGGACACUAGUGGAGUAUUUCAUGAUAUCGAUGAGGAGGAGAAAGAAAAUCCUUUAUACUAUCACAGUGAGAAGCUUGCUAUAGCUUUUGGGCUACUAAACACUAGUUCAGGCGACACGAUAAGGAUUUCAAAGAACUUGAGAGUUUGCAAAGAUUGCCAUGUGGCAAGCAAGUUCAUCUCUAAAGUUUUCAAUAGGGACAUCAUUGUGAGGGACCGGAACCGUUUCCACCAUUUCAAGGGAGGAGAAUGUUCUUGCAAAGAUUACUGGUGAAGUAUACCUGAGUUUCAAGACUUGCUACUGAUACAGAAACCAAUAACAUGUUUACCGGAAAGAUAAAUAGGACGAAGUCUGUUCAUCAUUCGAUUCGGGAAAUCAAGCUUAUAAACUCCUGGUAUAUUAAAUUGUUGUGCAAGUUUAAGGGGUGUCGAAGGGGCAAUAUAAGAGAUACCAUUCAAAGUAUUUCGCAUCUGCCCAU